rnacentral:rRNA from 1 species
AUUGAACGCUGGCGGCAGGCCUAACACAUGCAAGUCGAACGAGUGGCGGACGGGUGAGUAAUGUCUGGGAAACUGCCUGAUGGAGGGGGAUAACUACUGGAAACGGUAGCUAAUACCGCAUACCAUAAGAUGUGACCAGAUGGGAUUAGCUAGGUGGUGGGGUAACGGCUCACAAAGGCGACGAUCCCUAGCUGGUCUGAGAGGGUGACCAGCCAAACUGGAAAGUGGCAACGGGCCAGUCUCCGACGGGAGGCAGCAGUGGGGAAUAUUGCAAAAUGGGGGCAAGCCUUGUGCAGCCAUGCCGGGUGUAUGAAGAAGGCCUUCGGGUUGGAAAGUACUUUCAGCGGGGAGGCGUUACCCGCAGAAGAAGCACCGGCUAACUCCGUGCCAGCAGCCGCGGUAAUUC